GAGUGUUUCCAGCACUAGCACACUGGAUCCCAUCAGAACUCCGAAAUUAAGCGUGCUUGGGCAAGAGUAUUACCAGGAAGGGUAACCCCCUGGGAAGUCGUCAUGUUGCACCCC
rnacentral:rRNA from 1 species